UGGGGAAUUUUGGACAAUGGGCGAAAGCCUGAUCCAGCAAUGCCGCGUGUGUGAAGAAGGCCUUCGGGUUGUAAAGCACUUUUGUCCGGAAAGAAAUCCUUGGCUCUAAUACAGUCGGGGGAUGACGGUACCGGAAGAAUAAGCACCGGCUAACUACGUGCCAGCAGCCGCGGUAAUACGUAGGGUGCAAGCGUUAAUCGGAAUUACUGGGCGUAAAGCGUGCGCAGGCGGUUUGCUAAGACCGAUGUGAAAUCCCCGGGCUCAACCUGGGAACUGCAUUGGUGACUGGCAGGCUAGAGUAUGGCAGAGGGGGGUAGAAUUCCACGUGUAGCAGUGAAAUGCGUAGAGAUGUGGAGGAAUACCGAUGGCGAAGGCAGCCCCCUGGGCCAAUACUGACGCUCAUGCACGAAAGCGUGGGGAGCAAACAGGAUUAGAUACCCUGGUAGUCCACGCCCUAAACGAUGUCAACUAGUUGUUGGGGAUUCAUUUCCUUAGUAACGUAGCUAACGCGUGAAGUUGACCGCCUGGGGAGUACGGUCGCAAGAUUAAAACUCAAAUGAAUUGACGGGGUCUAGCUGUUUCCU
rnacentral:rRNA from 1 species